GCGGAGACGCAUGUUUCCGUUCACUCCUCACACCACACUCCGCCCGGACAAGCUUCGGGCGGUU
rfam:Scytonema tolypothrichoides VB-61278 scaffold_0, whole genome shotgun sequence.